GGCGGCAAUACACUUAACAAGAUUACCAGGUGUGAACAAAUGACUAUUUCGCGCCCUUUCAGAAAAUGACAUGAAUGAUGAUAACAACAAUAGUAAUUUGAAAUCUUGAUUUUGGAAAUAGGUCUCAUAUUUGAAUCUGAGUAGGAAAAUUAAUAUCCCAUGAAUUCAGAGAUUACUAAGCAAACAGAAACUCUCUGCAAAAAGUAACCAACCUCUUCCAACUUUUCUCAAUGGAUGAUGCUGUAAGAUUGCUCCUCAUAUAUUUCCAUUUGUCCAUGAUUUCCUUCAACCUGGCUCAAGAUGUAGGCCAAUUUGUCUAUAAUGGCUUCCUGGGAGCCAAACUCCAUCUUGAUGGAAUUGCAAAAAUCCAUCCUAAUGGUCUGUUGCAGCUAACCAACACUUCAAAGCAGAAAAUGGGUCAU
rnacentral:misc_RNA from 1 species